rnacentral:rRNA from 1 species
ACCUGGUUGAUCCUGCCAGUAGUCAUAUGCUUGUCUCAUAGACUAAGCCAUGCAUGUGUAAGUACAAGCCGAGUUAAGGCCAAAACCGCGAAUGGCUCAUUAAAUCAGCUAUGUUUCAUUGGAUCUGUAAACCCACUUACUUGGAUAACUGUGGUAAUUCUAGAGCUAAUACAUGCAUCUCGUCUCUGACCGCAAGGGAAGAGCGCUUUUAUUAGUUCAAAACUGGUCGGGCUUCGGUCCGUUAACCCUCCUGUGGUGAAUCUGAAUAACUUUCCGCUGAGCGCACGGUCUCCGCACUGGCGCCGCCGUCUUUCAAGUGUCUGCCUUAUCAGCUCACGAUUGUAAGUUAUGCGCCUACAAUGGCUGUAACGGGUAACGGGGAAUCAGGGUUCGAUUCCGGAGAGGGAGCCUGAGAAACGGCUACCACCUCUAAGGAAGGCAGCAGGCACGCAAAUUACCCACUCCCGGCACGGGGAGGUAGUGACGAAAAAUAACGAUGCGAGACUCAUCCGAGGCCUCGCAAUCGGAAUGAGUACACUUUAAAUCCUUUAACGAGGAUCGAUUGGAGGGCAAGUCUGGUGCCAGCAGCCGCGGUAAUUCCAGCUCCAAUAGCGUAUAUUAAUGUUGUUGCGGUUAAAAAGCUCGUAGUUGGACGUCAGUUCUGGACUGACGGGACAUCGCCAGGUGCCUUACCGUCACGCUCCGAACAGCUAAGAAGCCCAGCUAGCUCGCACGGGGUGCUCUUCACCGAGUGUCUCGAGUGGCCGGCACGUUUACUUUGAAAAAAUUAGAGUGCUCAGAGCAGGCUGCAUGAAUGGCCUGAAUGUCUAUGCAUGGAAUAAUGGAACAGGACCUCGGUUCUAUUUUGUUGGUUUUCGGAACCUGAGGUAAUGACUAAUCGGAACAGUCGGGGGCAUCCGUAUUGCGACGCUAGAGGUGAAAUUCUUUGACCGUCGCAAGACGAACAACUGCGAAGGCAUUUGCCAAGGAUGUUUUCAUUAAUCAAGAACGAAAGUUAGAGGAUCGAAGGCGAUCAGAUACCGCCCUAGUUCUAACCAUAAACGAUGCCAACUAGCGAUCCGCCGGAUGUUAUUCCCAUGACCCGGCGGGCAGCUCCCGGGAAACCAAAGUCUUUGGGUUCCGGGGGAAGUACGGUUGCAAAGCUGAAACUUAAAGGAAUUGACGGAAGGGCACCACCAGGAGUGGAGCCUGCGGCUUAAUUUGACUCAACACGGGGAACCUCACCAGGCCCAGACACCGGAAGGAUUGACAGAUUGAGAGCUCUUUCUCGAUUCGGUGGGUGGUGGUGCAUGGCCGUUCUUAGUUGGUGGAGCGAUUUGUCUGGUUAAUUCCGAUAACGAACGAGACUCUGGCCUAUUAACUAGUCGACGGAUCUCCAGCAAUUGGUGUCCAGUUCGCAACUUCUUCUUAGAGGGAUAAGCGGCAAUUCUAGCCGCACGAGAAUGAGCAAUAACAGGUCUGUGAUGCCCUUAGAUGUUCUGGGCCGCACGCGCGCUACACUGAAGGGAGCAACGUGUUGUCCCACUCCGAGAGGAGCGGGUAAACCGUUCAAAGCCCUUCUUGAUAGGGAUUGGGGCUUGCAAUUGUUUCCCAUGAACGAGGAAUUCCCAGUAAGUGCGGGUCAUCAGCUUGCGCUGACUACGUCCCUGCCCUUUGUACACACCGCCCGUCGCUACUACCGAUUGAAUGACUUAGUGAGGCCUUUGGACUGGCGCUCUUGGAUGUUCUACCCGGCGCGCCUCGGCGCAACGGGUUCUCGCCUCGAGCUGACGGAAAGAUGUCCAAACUUGAUCCUUUAGAGGAAGUAAAAGUCGUAACAAGGUUUCCGUAGGUGAACCUGCGGAAGGAUCAUUA